CCAACUGGCAAGAAAGACAUGAGAAUGCUGUGAGCACAUGCGAAGGGCGUCAUUUCUGUAGUUGAAAUCCACAGAGGACACUUGUCACGCAGCUAUGCGCCGUCCUGGCAUGAGACAAUUGUUCUAAAGAAGCAAUGCGGCUAGAUCUAGGAGCGUGGGCGUGCUGGCCUUCGGUUAUUUUCAUUUUUUGGAUACGAGGUCCUUGCAAUGCAACACCAGUCCACAAAGACCAGCAAGGAGAUUGCAAGCGGUUAUGGUCACAAGCGAUAACUUCAAGAACGACGCCAUGCCAUUAUAUAUGCGUAAGUUACGGAAGAAGAGGAGGCAUCCACACGGAGACACGGCGCGAGGUGGAUGGAAGUCCUUGCUGGGACCCACAAUACGGUACCUGCAUAGGUGGUCGCUGUAUGAAGCCGAUCCUUCUGCAAAGCGCUAAACGAAGGGAUGACGACCGAUUAGAAAGAAGAAAGCAAAUUCUUCACCGCAUCAAGAGGAACACUUACAUAG
rnacentral:lncRNA from 1 species